ACGCUCGACACCUACGGGAGGCGGCAGUUAGGAAUAUUGGGCAAUGGAGGAAACUCUGACCCAGCAACGCCGCGUGAAGGAAGAAGGUUUUCGGAUUGUAAACUUCUGAUCUAGGGGAAGAAGGAAGUGACGGUACCCUAGGAGAAAGCCACGGCUAACUACGUGCCAGCAGCCGCGGUAAUCUGAGCGGGCUGGCAAGGC
rnacentral:rRNA from 1 species